UAAGAGUGACCAUUGCUCCUGCUCCCUGGACUUGGGGCUAUGACCAUACUAGGAAAAUGUAGUCACCAUGAAGAAUGAGCUGGCUGGAAUAAAGCAACCCAGAAGAGACAGCCCAGAUAUCAGCCCAAGAGAGGCCUGAUAACCCUGUCUGAGCAUAAGAAUCUGACCUGCCACUGACCUGAUUGUAGAUUCAUCUACCUCAGAGACUUGAUGCUUCAUUAACACUUGUUUGUGAGGAAAUGAAUAAAUUAACAAAUCAAGGAUCCACCAUGGGGAGUAAUGGAGAAGUAUAGAGUCACCAUCUAAUCUCCUGUAGAAGGCCUCUCUGCACUCCUAGCCACUGCCAUGAUCAAGCCAAGUCCAAGCCAGCUGCCACUGACAAUCCAAGGACUAUCCUUGUGGGAUCCAGCCAGAAUUCCCCUCUUUCCCCCUCAGCCCCGGCUAGAUCCAGCCUUCAGGCCCCCACUCCAUUCUCAGCUCUUCUGCAGCUCCCAGAAGCACCUGGGUGCCCAAGAGCCUAAGAACCAGACUUCCCCAGCCUCCUUGCAGUCCCAUGGACCUCUGAGCCUGCUUUGUCUGUCCUGCACCUCAGACUGCAACUUCCUGACCCCUGGAGCAGUGUCCCACAGUUCAACACCUGCUUGGAGACCGUGUGAGGUAAGCAUGGUCAAAACUCCCAUAUCCUGCCUUGCCAGUGACUGAGCCCUGAGGCAGAGGGGAUCAGGACCACUAACCUUACAAUGCAUCAGGAGGGUGCUCCCACCCCCACCACAAUCCCUCCUUAGACAUCACUGAUGUGAUACUGUAUUGAUGCUCGAUUUAAUUGACUUCAUUAUCAGUGCAUACUGAAACUGAGUCCUUUUUUCUUAAAAGCCAAACAUAAGUGAUCAUGUGCUACAUAGUCUUCUGUCUAUAUCUUGCUUGUCACUGAACCUUGAGGAUUGCUCUACAGACAUAAACAACAACCUCCUCACUAUA